rnacentral:lncRNA from 1 species
AGUGUCACGUUGUGACCUUUAUUUCCUUUGUUUGGUCUUUUUUUAGUAUGGUCAGGGCGUGAGUUGGGCAGUCUAUGUUUGUUUUUCUAUGUUUGGUUUCUGUUUCGGCCUAGUAUGGCUCUCAAUCAGAGGCAGGUGUCGUUUGUUGUCUCUGAUUGAGAAUCAUACUUAGGUAGCCUGGGUUUCACUGUUGGUUUGUGGGUGUUUGUUUCCGUGUCAGUGUUUGUCGCCACACGGUACUGUUUCCGUGUCAGUGUUUGUCGCCACACGGUACUGUUUCCGUGUCAGUGUUUGUCGCCACACGGUACUGUUUCCGUGUCAGUGUUUGUCACCACACGGUACUGUUUCCGUGUCAGUGUUUGUCGCCACACGGUACUGUUUCCGUGUCAGUGUUUGUCGCCACACGGUACUGUUUCCGUGUCAGUGUUUGUCGCCACACGGUACUGUUUCCGUGUCAGUGUUUGUCGCCACACGGUACUGUUUCCGUGUCAGUGUUUGUCGCCACACGGUACUGUUUCCGUGUCAGUGUUUGUCGCCACACGGUACUGUUUCCGUGUCAGUGUUUGUCGCCACACGGUACUGUUUCCGUGUCAGUGUUUGUCGCCACACGGUACUGUUUCCGUGUCAGUGUUUGUCGCCACACGGUACUGUUUCCGUGUCAGUGUUUGCCGCCACACGGUACUGUUUCCGUGUCAGUGUUUGUCGCCACACGGUACUGUUCCGUGUCAGUGUUUGUCGCCACACGGUACUGUUUCCGUGUCAGUGUUUGUCGCCACACGGUACUGUUUCCGUGUCAGUGUUUGUCGCCACACGGUACUGUUUCCGUGUCAGUGUUUGUCGCCACACGGUACUGUUUCCGUGUCAGUGUUUGUCGCCACACGGUACUGUUUCCGUGUCAGUGUUUGUCGCCACACGGUACUGUUUCCGUGUCAGUGUUUGUCGCCACACGGUACUGUUUCCGUGUCAGUGUUUGUCGCCACACGGUACUGUUUCCGUGUCAGUGUUUGUCGCCACACGGUACUGUUUCGGUUUCGUUUCUUCACGUUUCUUUAGUUCUUUUUGUAUUCAGUGUUCAGUGCUUUCUUUGAUUAAAGUUAUGGACACUUACCACUCUGCAUCUUGGUCCGAUCCUUACUCCUCUUCAGACGAAGAGGAGAUCUGCUGUUACAUAUAGUGGUUGUUUACAUUUAAUUUGUUUACAAACAGAGUAAAACAAGCAUAUAUUUUGGGGGAUUCUGAUGGGGUACGACAGUUGAACUAAGCUUAUGAGGAAUUUAUAAAUGAUAUUCUUCAAUAAUCAAUGGGUACAUAUCAUGGAUUUCUACCCCCCAAAAAUGGAUGUAUCAACUGCAGAUUGCUC